rnacentral:rRNA from 1 species
UCCAGACUCCUACGGGAGGCAGCAGUGGGGAAUAUUGCACAAUGGGGGAAACCCUGAUGCAGCGACGCCGCGUGAGUGAAGAAGUAUUUCGGUAUGUAAAGCUCUAUCAGCAGGGAAGAAAAAAGACGGUACCUGACUAAGAAGCCCCGGCUAACUACGUGCCAGCAGCCGCGGUAAUACGUAGGGGGCAAGCGUUAUCCGGAAUUACUGGGUGUAAAGGGUGCGUAGGUGGCAUGGUAAGUCAGAAGUGAAAGCCCGGGGCUUAACCCCGGGACUGCUUUUGAAACUGUCAUGCUGGAGUGCAGGAGAGGUAAGCGGAAUUCCUAGUGUAGCGGUGAAAUGCGUAGAUAUUAGGAGGAACACCAGUGGCGAAGGCGGCUUACUGGACUGUCACUGACACUGAUGCACGAAAGCGUGGGGAGCAAACAGGAUUAGAUACCCCAGUA